UUUCCGUAGGUGAACCUGCGGAAGGAUCAUUAUCGAGAUGACGGGUCUAACCGGCCCUCUCUCCGUUCUCUGUCAUAAGUUCUCCUUGCGCGCCUCACGGCGUGGAUUAGAGCUGGAUCGUUUCGGUGGAGGUGUUGUCUGGUUGACGGGUAAUGCUGUCGACCAGGCGACCGCCAUCGUUCUUAACUCUACCGUGGAUGAUGACGUCUGAAGCAAGAAAAUAAAGCAAAACUUUCAACAACGGAUCUCUUGGCUCUGGCAUCGAUGAAGAACGCAGC
rnacentral:misc_RNA from 1 species